rnacentral:tRNA from 1 species
GAUUUAACUCGCGUCAAAUUGGGACUCAUAAUCCCCUGGUCGCUGGUUCAAACCCAGCAGGGGCCACCA